CAGGCUGCCUCGCUAAACGAUGCACACCUGUAACUCACGUGACCCUGGUUAUUAUUGAAACAAGAACGAGGGCGUCGUGCCUUUAUAAGACUGCGUUAAUAGUUCCGUAGAGUUAUCCCUUCCGUUGUUGUUUAUUGAUUGUUAAACAUGGCGUCAUUUGCAAAGGUGGUUGUGUGUGUCCUCAUUGCUUGUGACUGUAAUGCAUUCGGUUUUCCGAAGAGAGAUGUGAACUUAAAGGCCUCUGCAGUUGACCGCCAAAGUGAUGAUGUGGUUGUCACCACAACACCCGUUCCCCACAACCAGACCACCUCUGCCCCUACUGAAGCUGAUGGAGCAAAUGAAGAUGAUGCAGAUGAAGAUGAUGAUUCAGCAAGUGAAGAUGCUGUGGCUACCACCCCAACACCAAAUCCCCCAACUACAUCUGACCACACUGCAGCUACCGAUGAUGCAAGUGAGGGUGCUGUGGCUGCCCAAACUGGAGCUACUGUAUCCCAUACGACUGAAGUCUGAUUCGACUGCUCCUCUGGUCACAAUGACCUGUCUGGACUUUUUGCCUCUACAUGUUGACUGCAAUAAAGGACAGAUUUGUAUUUUUUAAUCAAAUGUUGUCUUGCCUUUUUCAAAUUGAGGCCUUGUCCUGUUUUGGUAGUGGAGAUGACUAUGAAGCCUCUUUCCUAACGUAUUUCCUGUAGUGGUUUUACUAUAUGCUUCAUGCAACAAGGCCUUCAACGACUCUACAAUUUAAAAGCAUCUAGUUUUGUCUGAAUUUGUAAAAUGGUUGAACUGGUAGUGAUGCAC
ensembl:lncRNA